rnacentral:rRNA from 1 species
ACUUUCAACAACUCUUGGUUCUGGCAUCGAUGAAGAACGCAGCGAAAUGCGAUAAGUAAUGUGAAUUGCAGAAUUCAGUGAAUCAUCGAAUCUUUGAACGCACAUUGCGCCCGCCAGUAUUCUGGCGGGCAUGCCUGUCCGAGCGUCAUUU